AUUGAACGCUGGCGGCAGGCUUAACACAUGCAAGUCGAGCGGAGCGAGGGUGCUUGCACCUUAGCUUAGCGGCGGACGGGUGAGUAAUGCUUAGGAAUCUGCCUAUUAGUGGGGGACAACAUUCCGAAAGGGAUGCUAAUACCGCAUACGCCCUACGGGGGAAAGCAGGGGAUCUUCGGACCUUGCGCUAAUAGAUGAGCCUAAGUCGGAUUAGCUAGUUGGUGGGGUAAAGGCCUACCAAGGCGACGAUCUGUAGCGGGUCUGAGAGGAUGAUCCGCCACACUGGGACUGAGACACGGCCCAGACUCCUACGGGAGGCAGCAGUGGGGAAUAUUGGACAAUGGGCGGAAGCCUGAUCCAGCCAUGCCGCGUGUGUGAAGAAGGCCUUUUGGUUGUAAAGCACUUUAAGCGAGGAGGAGGCUACUAGUAUUAAUACUACUGGAUAGUGGACGUUACUCGCAGAAUAAGCACCGGCUAACUCUGUGCCAGCCGCCGCGGUAA
rnacentral:rRNA from 1 species